GUGGAGCGGUGGAAUGCGCAGAUNUCAGGAGGAACACCGGUGGCGAAGGCGGUUNUCUGGACCUUUCCUGACGCUGAGAAGCGAAAGCGUGGGGAGCGAACAGGCUUAGAUACCCUGGUAGUCCACGCUGUAAACGGUGGGUACUAGGUGUGGGGGACAUUCCACGUUCUCCGUGCCGUAGCUAACGCAUUAAGUACCCCGCCUGGGGAGUACGGCCGCAAGGCUAAAACUCAAAGGAAUUGACGGGGCCCCGCACAAGCGGCGGAGCAUGCGGAUUAAUUCGAUGCAACGCGAAGAACCUUACCUGGGUUUGACAUAUGCCGGAAGCGUUCAGAGAUGGGCGUGCCUUUUUGGUCGGUUUACAGGUGGUGCAUGGCUGUCGUCAGCUCGUGUCGUGAGAUGUUGGGUUAAGUCCCGCAACGAGCGCAACCCUCGUCCAAUGUUGCCAGCGGGUUAUGCCGGGGACUCAUUGGAGACCGCCGGGGUCAACUCGGAGGAAGGUGGGGAUGACGUCAAGUCAUCAUGCCCCUUAUGUCCAGGGCUUCACGCAUGCUACAAUGGCCGGUACAGUGAGCUGCGAGCCUGUGAGGGUGAGCGAAUCUCUAAAAGCCGGUCUCAGUUCGGAUUGGGGUCUGCAACUCGACCCCAUGAAGUCGGAGUCGCUAGUAAUCGCAGAUCAGCAACGCUGCGGUGAAUACGUUCCCGGGGCUUGUACACANCGCCCGUCAAGUCAUGAAAGUCGGUAACACCCGAAG
rnacentral:rRNA from 1 species